CAGCCGCCGCGGGAAUACCAGCACCUCGAGUGGUCAGGAGGUUUAUUGGGCCUAAAGCAUCCGUAGCCGGUUGCAUAAGUUUUCGGUUAAAUCUAUGCGCUUAACGUAUAGGCCGCCGAAAAUACUGUGCAGCUAGGGAGUGGGAGAGGUACACGGUACUCGAUAGGAAGGGGUAAAAUCCUUUGAUCUAUUGAUGACCACCUGUUGCGAAGGCGGUGUACCAGAACACGUUCGACGGUGAGGGAUGAAAGCUGGGGGAGCAAACCGGAUUAGAUACCCCCGUAGUCCCUGUCUCUUAUAC
rnacentral:rRNA from 1 species